CGGAAUCAGGUGGGGGCAGCUGAGAUAAAUCGCUCCCACUUCAGCUGUUCUGACGCUUCCAGAGCCGAACGUGGCUUCCCCUUCCAGCCAAACCCUGGUCCCGAAGGAAGACGGAAACAUUCGGGAAGGGAUUAUCGGGGCGGAGAAAGCGGCUCUUUAACGACCAGAAGGAAACAGCCCCGUUGGAAACAGCCCCCGGAAAGGAGUUCAGCCAGAGCAGGGCAAUGGGCUGUGCAUCUCCAUCUGCUGCUGGGACACCGGUGUUUGGAGAACUGCUUAAUCCACACUGGAAAUGGAGAGGAACUUCGUCAAAAGAAGAACUUUCCUUGGCAAAACCGAAGCAGAAAAAAACCUCAAAAAAUCACCCUCAUAUGUAAGGAUGUGGCAUCGUCUGAUUAAUUAACGAGAGCUGGGUUGCCAUGAUGAUGUAGCCGUGACUGCAAUAUUUUGGGCUGAAAAGCAUCAAUUAAAAGACUCCGAGAUGAAAAGAAUUCCCAUCCUGCUCCAGGCCACGAGCACUAAUCCUGCCAACCAAGCAGUCCAAAAGGAAGAAAGGUUUUAUUUCAUAUCCAGACUCUUAUUCCAUGCAGGUAAAUCCAUAGUAAAUACAUUGCAGUAAAAGACAGUUAAAGUGCCUUUAAAGUCCCUCAAAAAGAGUCCAAACUGUGCUGGAAAUUCAAGUAUGUGGAAAAUAGGCCUUUAGUUAUUAGGAGAAUAUUUUUAUUAUUUUUUUUUUUAAAUGUUGAAAAUGGGGGAGGGAGGAGG